UGGGGAAUAUUGGACAAUGGGCGCAAGCCUGAUCCAGCCAUGCCGCGUGAGUGAUGAAGGCCUUAGGGUUGUAAAGCUCUUUCGACGGGGACGAUAAUGACGGUACCCGUAGAAGAAGCCCCGGCUAACUUCGUGCCAGCAGCCGCGGUAAUACGAAGGGGGCUAGCGUUGCUCGGAAUCACUGGGCGUAAAGGGCGCGUAGGCGGACGUUUAAGUCAGAGGUGAAAGCCCAGGGCUCAACCCUGGAAUGGCCUUUGAUACUGGACGUCUUGAGUCUGGUAGAGGUUGGUGGAACUGCGAGUGUAGAGGUGAAAUUCGUAGAUAUUCGCAAGAACACCGGUGGCGAAGGCGGCCAACUGGACCAGAACUGACGCUGAGGCGCGAAAGCGUGGGGAGCAAACAGGAUUAGAUACCCUGGUAGUCCACGCCGUAAACGAUGGAUGCUAGCCGUUGGCCGGUUUACCGGUCAGUGGCGCAGCUAACGCGUUAAGCAUCCCGCCUGGGGAGUACGGCCGCAAGGUUAAAACUCAAAGGAAUUGACGGGGUCAUAGCUGUUUCCU
rnacentral:rRNA from 1 species